UACGCGUUGCCGGUUCCGGCGCGGCGCAGGGUGGAGUUAGUAAAUAACACGUCUUCCCGGAAUACGUGAUUCGUCCGUGAUAACAGUGAUAAGCACGCGCUCGGUUUCUGUUAUUUUCUUAAAUUUUACUACGAUUUAUCGUUAGAGAUUAUCAAGAAUUAAUCCCGUACUCGGUAGUGCAAGCAUCAGCUCGGAAGAAAGCAAUUUCAGUGCGCCGGGUUCCCUUUAGUUAGCUGGUUUUGUUCGAAGUGUGUUUCGUGCAUUGUGUGUAGUGUGGUUUCAUGUGAAGUGGAAUAUUUGUGGAGCUCUUUCAACAAUCAAAAUAACUCAUAAUGGGAAAUAUUCACACUACUGGACCUAACUGUGCUCUCAUAGUAUCAGUUCGAGGCUCAUCGUUUCAUUUUGGAUUCUAUCAAUGGUGUAGAGGGCAUCAGAGUGCUUAUCUUUUACAGACGAAGACCUGUCUAGCCGCGGACCAAUACAAACCGCGCUCGUCGCGCCUGCAAAGCUGUAGUUACGCUUCACACGCUGCUGCGAUGUAUGCAAGUAUUAUUCGCUAUCACAUUGCGGACAUUUUGCGUGCCUAUUUUAGUUCAUCAGACCGGAGUCAAUACUUCUUAGAGUAUCAAUAUCACCGAUUUAUUCGAAAUAAAAUUCAACCCCAAUUUUCCCACCAUUUGUGACUUGAGAAGCUUUUUAGUUUUUUCAGACAUUCCAAAAGACGAAUCUGUUUAGUUGGAAUGUCGCAGUGUUCAAUAAAUUUUAUCGAACUGAAAUUAUUGUAUCAACUUAUCCAAGAGUUCGACCAUAAUUACCUGCCGACACGCCGCGCCGGUGCGGACUAGUCCGAAGAGUCCUAAAAAAAUUAGUUAUUUUUAAUAUUUUAUUUACUUGGGUCCCCUGAAAGUAUUGACUCAUUUAGACAGUCCGAACUUAUUAAAAUUUUGUAGAAUUUUUGCUAGAGAAUCGACUACAAACUCUUAUUUAAUUUUAUUUAAGAAGUAUUUAAUUUUUUUGAUAGAGCUAAUAUUUUUCGUCGUUAGUCAAGAAACGUACCAAGAUGAGUACUUUAAAGUGACCAUAGUUUUGGAAAAGUGCUCUUAAAAAACACUCAAGCGGUA
rnacentral:lncRNA from 1 species